CGUCGUUCAUGCGUCUGUUGGAGAGCUUUUCUCAGACGACUCCCGGGACGCCCCUUUCAUGCGAAGCGAUCGCACCUCGAGUCUCCCAUCUGCACAGACAACGCCGCUGCUGACAAGGUUCCCAGAGGUUACCACACAGUGACGUUCACACCCCUGUAGAAUGAAGCAGCUACAGUGGAUGCAAGUAGAUGGAUAAAAAUGUCCGCAGCUGCGGUGGGUUUUGAAAAGCUCUCGGUGUUCUGUAUUCACUCCAAAAGUAAAAUCGGUGUAGGGAGUAGGGACAGAGGUACCCGUUCGCGCGACUCGAUUUCUACGGGGUUAAUAGCGCUCCGUGCUCGACAGGACUCCCGACGUGUACAUCUCUCGCUCGCAGACAAAACGGCGGCAAUCUAGAAGCGAGAGAAUUGUACGAAGCUCUUCGAAGCGCUUUCACGCACAUUCUCUAGAAAGGAACGCUACUCGUGGUAUUUCAGCAACAACUCCGCAACGCGUUCCCAGUCCCCCGUUUCUGGUGGAACUAACACAGCCUUCACUGGAAUCCAUCUCGAGUGGAGUAACCACAUCCGGGGUAUUCACACCAUUCACAUCCUGAACUGACUAAAAUGCUGAAUCGAAAAACGGUGGUCAGUGAACGAGCAUGUGCCUCACCCUACACCCAAAACGUAGUCCAGAGGUUGAGAUACCUUACGAAGGAACUCAGCUCGAUGUUCUGACCUGACCUUUGGUUUCUUGCUGGAGAUGCUGCCCUUAGGUUCCAACUGAGCACUUGUCAGCCCUAGCGCCAUCAGGGGCGUUGGGGGAAUCUCGCCGAAUCUUCAUGCGGAGUUCCACAAUCUGGUAUCAGCCCCCGCAAAAUUCAUGGCUAACGGACAGCCAAAAGUUAGAUUCGCAGGCCGGUUCGCUGCAGGAUCAGGCUAAAGUGACAAGAUACAUCCCCUUGGCCUUGUGCGGUGUCGCCGGUUAACAAAGCAUUAAAAGAAGAGAACGGUGGCAUUACCAACGCAUCUGCAGGAGAACAUGGAAGUUCCUUUCAAUUUCGUUAGCUGAGGAUGGAAACUGCUGCUACUGGAUGUUUUUUGCGCCGGGAGAACACAGGUUCUCCCGCACCGUAUAAUGCAGUUUCAAACGGUGAUGCACUCGUAGCCGUGAUGUGCCCAGGUGGCCCAGGGUCUGUGCACUGACCGAAAACUCUUCCGAGUGCUCGUCAGGAAAAAGCCGGGAAUCCAGCUUUUUGGGGCGUUCUGCCUGCCUGCGCCGAUUGGAGUGUAACUCUGGUGGGUUGGCCCGGCCAUUGCAGCAGUAACCCCAUCCGAGUGUUUGUCGGUUGCAGCGUGCGCAAAUGCUCAUUCAUGACCUUCGCUCCGUUUCUGUUUCUCUCGAAAACAGCG
rnacentral:lncRNA from 1 species